rnacentral:rRNA from 1 species
GACGAACCGUGCGAACGUUAUUCGGAAUCACUGGGCUUAAAGCGCGUGUAGGCGGGACGGCACGUCGGUCGCUGAAAGCCCCCGGCUCAACCGGGGAACGGGCGCCGAUACGACCGUCCUGGAGGGACGUAGGGGGACCUGGAACAUCCGGUGGAGCGGUGAAAUGCGUUGAGAUCGGAUGGAACGCCCGUGGCGAAAGCGAGGUCCUGGACGUUUUCUGACGCUGAGACGCGAAAGCCAGGGGAGCGAACGGGG